ACGCCUGAAUUUUUGUCUCAGCCAAACGAUUAAAGAAAAUAGUUCCCUCCGCGGAGGGAUCUGGUGAGCAAAGUUUCAGGUGUGC
rnacentral:pre_miRNA from 1 species